UAUGAAAAGUCAGAUGAAAUUCGAAUAGAAUUUUGGAAUUUUGGACGAAUCGACAGGAAAAAUGGAAAAAACGGUUAUUCAGACCCAAUUCAGAUCCGUUUUCCAGGUAUAUUUGAUGAUAUUUCCAAACGGAAUCGUUUUUUGUCAGUCGGUGAAUACUUCGUUUGCCAGAAGCCUCUACAGGUGUCAUUUGGAUAUUUGAGGAAUUUUUAACGAAAUAUAUGAGAAAAGAAUGGACUGGAACGUUGACCUACAAAACAUGAUGAGACUUGGACGAAAUCUAAAAGUUAUGGGUGCGAUCAGAACAUAAGGAGGACAACCACCUCUCUCUCUCUGUAGCCCAUAUCGAGGACGUAGCACACCUUGUACCACGAUGCCGUAGAUGCAGAAUUACGUUAGGAAGAUUGUUAGGUGCCUCUCGAAGGCGUUUGCUGGUAGCAUGUUGAGAAAUAUGUGCUGAAGACACGUUUGGAGAAUUCGCGAGGAACUUCGUUUAGUAAUAGUAAUGGGUAUGAACUGGGAUACUCGUGUGUACAGCCCUGGCAGAAAUGGUCUGGCACAUCCAAUUCCAGUGGAUACUACGCCUACCACUACCAUCUGGUUGGAAUUUUCACCUCCAAUCAUGAGAGGACCACC